CAGUAAAUACCCGAUUACAAUCCUCUAUAGUGAAAUCCUUUCUUUAGUAAAGUAGCAAUUUACGAUCAAGUGGAGGUAAAGGUAAAGUACGUCAUAACACUAUGACUUAGCCGGGUUGUAACGUUGUACUGAAAUUCAUUACGUCUUAAGGGAUGUAAUGGAGCUUUUAGUGGUCAUGCUGCUAUUGCUGUCUCACUUCAACGUAUGAUGGCAUCCCUCUCACUCGAAUGAUUUAAUUUUUUUAUCUAGCUUAGAUGAUGCUUUUCUAAGUGACGCCAAUAGUUAUAUUGUAGUGUUAUUGAAAUUAAUUAUUUAUUUAACUUGAAAUUAAAAUGUCGAGGGACGACGAUGAUAAGUAGCAGUAAUUUAACGUUGGACACUAUUACCAGAAAUUUUUCAAGACAGAUAGGUAGGUAACUACCUACCUUUUACGGCAUAUGAGGAUUUUGAUUUUAAUGUCUCGCGAGGUGUUAAAAUUAGAGUAUUGAGCUUGUAUGCUGUCUUUAUCUUGGGCGCCCCUAAACCCCGCGCUACACUCAGGAUUCUAGAUGCAACACCCUCGCUCCGCUCGGGAGUUACUCUAAAAUCGCUCGUUACGCUUGGGAUUUAUCCCAGCGCACGUGACGUAGGACAUUACAUUACCUCCAUGUUGAAUAAUCUACUAAAAUAUUAGAUUGAUAGAAUGCUCCAAAAACCUUAGAAACUAAUAAUUAUGUUUUGUUUCACUCAUACUUAUGUGAUGCUAGUGAACAAUAAUUGAGUAAGAUAUACGUUUACUCAGUUUUUAUUUUAAUAACAGGGUUAC